UACGAACUUGGGAACCAUCUCGGGCCUUUCACAAAUCACACUUGAUCCAUAUCAUUAACUCGUUCGAACCGGACUGCACUCACUUCUCUGGCAUUCCCUGCUAGUAUCUGUCUGAACAGUUAAGAGAAUAAAAUAUGCAUUUUGCAGAAUGUGGUAGUGCAAAGAGAAGUAGUACUAUGAAUCUAUGUACCUCUAGUCUAUAAACUUGGUGCUUCUCCUUCUGAUCUUGACGCUCGUGUUUACCUUCGUCUUGUUCAUCAUUCUCUUAAGGCCUCACAGAC